CGACCUACGGGGCCCAGCAGUGGGGGAUAUUGCACAAUGGAGGAAACUCUGAUGCAGCGACGCCGCGCGCGGGCCGCCGGUCUUCGGCUUGUCCCCCUCUGUCUUUGGGGCCGCCAAUGCCGGUACCCAAAGAGGAAGCUCCGGCUAACUACGUGCCAGCAGCCGCGGUAAUACGUAGGGAGCGAGCGUUGUCCGGAAUUACUGGGUGUAAAGGGAGCGUAGGCGGGCGAGAAAGUUGAAUGUUAAAUCUACCGGCUUAACUGGUAGCUGCGUUCAAAACUUCUUGUCUUGAGUGAAGUAUAGGG
rnacentral:rRNA from 1 species